CACCCGUUCCCAUCCCGAACACGGAAGUUAAGCUCAACUGCGCCGAUGGUACUGCAAUUAUGUGGGAGAGUAGGUCGUCGCCAGGC
rnacentral:rRNA from 1 species